rnacentral:misc_RNA from 1 species
UCAAACUUGGUCAUUUAGAGGAAGUAAAAGUCGUAACAAGGUUUCCGUAGGUGAACCUGCGGAAGGAUCAUUAUCGAAUGCCCUCUGGGCUUCACUGGCUGUGCGCCUUCGGGCUGCACGCCGUCCACACACACCGUGCACUCAUCGGUGGGGUAACACCCGCCGCAUUACAAAAUACCAGUCUCGAAUGUGAAACACACAAAGUUAAAUACAACUUUCAGCAACGGAUCUCUUGGCUCUCGCAUCGAUGAAGAACGCAGC